CGCCUUAUACAUGCAAGUCGAACGCAGUAGCAAUACUGAGUGGCAGACGGGUGAGUAUGAUGUGGGAAUCUGCCUUUUGGUUUGGAAUAACUCGGGGAAACUUGAGCUAAUACUGGAUAAGCCCUUACGGGGAAAGCUUUAUGCGCCAAAAGAUGAGCCCGCACUUGAUUAGCUAGUUGGUGAAGUAAAAGCUCACCAAGGCAACGAUCAAUAGCUGUUCUUAGAGGAAGACCAGCCACAUUGGGACUGAGACACGGCCCAGACUCCUACGGGAGGCAGCAGUAAGGAAUCUUGCACAAUGGAGGAAACUCUGAUGCAGCGAUGCCGCGUGAGUGAAGAAGGCCUUUGGGUUGUAAAACUCUUUCGUUGGGGAAGAAAAUGACUGUACCCAAAUAAGAAGGUCCGGCUAACUUCGUGCCAGCAGCCGCGGUAAUACGAAGGGACCUAGCGUAGUUCGGAAUUACUGGGCUUAAAGAGCUCGUAGGUGGUUAAAAAAGUUGAUGGUGAAAUCCCAAGGCUCAACCUUGGAACUGCCAUCAAAACUUUUUAGCUUGAGUGUGAUAGAGGAAAGUGGAAUUUCUAGUGUAGAGGUGAAAUUCGUAGAUAUUAGAAAGAACAUCAAAAGCGAAGGCAACUUUCUGGAUCACUACUGACACUGAGGAGCGAAAGCAUGGGUAGCGAAGAGGAUUAGAUACCCUCGUAGUCCAUGCUGUAAACGAUGUGUGCUAGACGUUGGAAAUUUAAUUUUCAGUGUCGCAGCAAAAGCGUUAAGCACACCGCCUGGGGAGUACGACCGC
rnacentral:rRNA from 1 species